rnacentral:rRNA from 1 species
ACAUGCAAGUCGAGCGGUAACAGGAGAAGCUUGCUUCUCGCUGACGAGCGGCGGACGGGUGAGUAAUACUUAGGAAUCUACCUAGUAGUGGGGGAUAGCUCGGGGAAACUCGAAUUAAUACCGCAUACGACCUACGGGAGAAAGGGGGCAGUUUACUGCUCUCGCUAUUAGAUGAGCCUAAGUCGGAUUAGCUAGAUGGUGGGGUAAAGGCCUACCAUGGCGACGAUCUGUAGCUGGUCUGAGAGGAUGAUCAGCCACACCGGGACUGAGACACGGCCCGGACUCCUACGGGAGGCAGCAGUGGGGAAUAUUGGACAAUGGGGGCAACCCUGAUCCAGCCAUGCCGCGUGUGUGAAGAAGGCCUUUUGGUUGUAAAGCACUUUAAGCAGUGAAGAAGACUCUAGGGUUAAUACCCCUAGACGAUGACAUUAGCUGCAGAAUAAGCACCGGCUAACUCUGUGCCAGCAGCCGCGGUAAUACAGAGGGUGCAAGCGUUAAUCGGAAUUACUGGGCGUAAAGCGAGCGUAGGUGGCUUGAUAAGUCAGAUGUGAAAUCCCCGGGCUUAACCUGGGAACUGCAUCUGAUACUGUUGAGCUAGAGUAGGUGAGAGGGAAGUAGAAUUCCAGGUGUAGCGGUGAAAUGCGUAGAGAUCUGGAGGAAUACCGAUGGCGAAGGCAGCUUCCUGGCAUCAUACUGACACUGAGGCUCGAAAGCGUGGGUAGCAAACAGGAUUAGAUACCCUGGUAGUCCACGCCGUAAACGAUGUCUACUAGUCGUUGGGUCCCUUGAGGACUUAGUGACGCAGCUAACGCAAUAAGUAGACCGCCUGGGGAGUACGGCCGCAAGGUUAAAACUCAAAUGAAUUGACGGGGGCCCGCACAAGCGGUGGAGCAUGUGGUUUAAUUCGAUGCAACGCG